CUUUUGGGAAGGCAAAUGAACACCCCUGGAAAGUAGAGCUGGAGCUAAAAUUCAUUCAGAGACUUAAGAAGACUUAAUUUUAAACACACACCAAAGUGCAGUCUUCUGCAUGGCCACAGGUGAGGCUGCUGAUUUGUAUGAUCUGUCUCUGAGGCACCUUCAGUGAGUCUACUCAGUUUUCCAGAAGGGAGAAGGGUGAAAGCUGAGUUCAGACCUGGAUGCCCUUCUAAAUAUCAUAGAACAAAAGUAGAUUGCCCCAUUAAGGCUUGCACAUUAUGCCCAGGGUAAGUACUGUUCAACUUUCCUUUCUUCUAGGAGUUGUCUGCCUUAACUUUUCGGCUUAUUCCUAGCAGAGUAAAUUUUUUAAAAAUUUAACUCAAUGAGGUAUUUGACUGAAACAGAAAAUUUGCAGAUUUUUAAGGGCAUCUACUGUGCAUAAAUUUAGGGAUAUGAGAAUUUGCCAGUGAAAUGAUAGCAGUUCUGUGCUUUCAGAGCAAAGAUGUGCUAGUCUGAACAUGCCUGAUCUCAUCUGGAAUCGAAAGCUAAAGCUAGGUGGGUUUGUAAUAAUACCAGAAAAGGAACACAUGUAUCUUUUGUGCAAGCUUUUUUUUUUUCUUUAAGCCAGUCAUCCAGAGGGAAUGACAAAGAAGUAGGUUCUCCUCUUGCUUAACGAGUAGUCAUACUUUACUUCUGCAGAUAUAUAUUUCCAGUUGUUCUUGGUUGUUUUGUUUUGUUGUUGUCAUCGCUGUUGAAAUAUAUCCUUUCCUGUCAGUGAUUGUUAAACACUUUCCAUUUUACAGAAUGCUCUAUCUCCAUUAGCUCCGUUUGAUGUCUCCUCACUUAGUUACCUUUCUCAAGUCUGUGAUGACCCUCUCAGGCUUUGCAAUUCUUAUUGAUUCUUGCCAGAAUAUACUUCUUCGUUAGCUGUUUUGUUAUAGUAAUGGUGGAAAUAAUCUUGAUUUUUCAGGCCUUUAUAACUAUCCAGGCAAAUUACCUUUUGAGGUGAAAUUUCUCAUAGUUAUUCUUAACUCACAACUGAACUUGUAUUGAAAAGGCUUGAAGAAAAUCCAAUUAGUUGAGGUUGUUUUAGCUCUAAAUAUUCUAAUAAAUGCAAAUGAUGUUUUUUACAAAAUACUUAUUGAUGUGCAAUGCUUUUCUAAUUUGUUUUUCUUUUGGUGCUUUAAAAUAGAACCUGAAAAUUAAAUGUGUUUUUAAAAAGG
ensembl:lncRNA